CCCAGUGUUAUUGUUGCUGUGGAACACGUGACCCAUGCUGCCUUGUGCAGGACCCCAGCCAGAAGUUUUGGAAGAGUCCUGGGAGAAAACGGUAAGGCUUAAAUUCUGAUCUUUCAAAGGCCGAAGUAACUGGUUUGCUAUGAAAUGUUGCUUUAAAAAAAAAAAAAAACACGAGCACUUUUGAAAGAGAAUGUGAAUUACGCUGUCGGGAACUGGGCCUUCAGCCAACUGUAGCUUACAGGCUGCACCGUCCUCAGAGACACGGAGCUGCUAAGAACAAUGCAUGGCGGAGAAAACUGUCUGCUCAAAAGCGCGGUUACCAUUCACUUCUGAUGCUGACAAUGGUCCUUCUGUGCAACUUCUUUGCAUUUGAGAGCGGAACUUGUUUGCAUUUGACAAUUUGUCAGACGUCUAGAUAAAAAGUGCACGACUCUGCGAGUUUCCUCAUUAAACAUGUCUAUCCUUUAUACGGGCUUAUCCGUCGACAACGUCACAAUCACUAGGGGCUUACGUUGUCCUUGCAUACAAGGCUGUGUAAUACGACAGUUAUUUUAUUGAAUGCGAUCGCUAGAUUCUGAUUGUGAAUUUGGCUUGUAAGCUCUCUGUCUGCUAACAACAUAAACAUGUUAAUGAAAGGUUUUGGGCCUUGUACACUACAUGUCAUACCGUAAUGCACUUAAUUAGUGUUUUUAUUUUGUUCAAAAUGUAUUAGAGUGUAAUUGUUUUAAUGUGCAUGGAAUACUGGAAUUGUAUAAUGAAUUGAAGAUGAAGACACUAUAUAAUCAUAUUCAGUAAAUGCCAAGUUGAGAAA